rnacentral:rRNA from 1 species
UAAAGAAUUUCGGUCAUCGAUGGGGAUGCGUUCCAUUAGCUUGUUGGCAGGGUAACGGCCCACCAAGGCAUCGAUGGAUAGGGGUUCUGAGAGGAAGGUCCCCCACAUUGGAACUGAGACACGGUCCAAACUCCUACGGGAGGCAGCAGUGAGGAAUAUUGGUCAAUGGGCGCUAGCCUGAACCAGCCAAGUAGCGUGAAGGAUGACUGCCCUAUGGGUUGUAAACUUCUUUUAUAUGGGAAUAAAGUGCAGUAUGUAUACUGCUUUGCAUGUACCUUAUGAAUAAGGAUCGGCUAACUCCGUGCCAGCAGCCGCGGUAAUACGGAGGAUCCGAGCGUUAUCCGGAUUUAUUGGGUUUAAAGGGAGCGUAGGCGGGUUGUUAAGUCAGUUGUGAAAGUUUGCGGCUCAACCGUAAAAUUGCAGUUGAUACUGGCAUCCUUGAGUACAGUAGAGGUAGGCGGAAUUCGUGGUGUAGCGGUGAAAUGCUUAGAUAUCACGAAGAACUCCGAUUGCGAAGGCAGCCUGCUGGACUGUAACUGACGCUGAUGCUCGAAAGUGUGGGUAUCAAACAGGAUUAGAUACCCUGGUAGUCCACACAGUAAACGAUGAAUACUCGCUGUUUGCGAUAUAAGUAA